rnacentral:lncRNA from 1 species
CUGGAUUAGGUUUACAUUAACAAAUUGAUCCCUUUUGUUUUUAAGAUUGAAAAUAUUAAGAUCAAUGGACAUGUUUCUGAAUGAGAGUUUCAUGAGUCCAUUGCGGUAAUUAAUUAGGAUGUUGGUGGUUGCUAAAAAUGAUCUUCCUAAGAUGAUUAGGAUGUGACCUUUUGGAUUAGACACUGAUUUAGUCUCGGAGAUCACAAAAUCUACAGAAUAAAUAAAAUUACUGACCUUGAUUA